AGGGUUUGAUUAGGAUUUGAUUUAGGAUUAGGAUUUGGUUAGGAUUUGAUUUAGGGUUAGUAUUUGGUUAGGAUUUGAUUUAGAAUUAGAAUUUGGUUAGCAUUUGAUUUAGGAUUAGAAUUUGAUUUAGGAUUUAGGAUUUGGUUUAAGGUUUAGGAUUUGAUUUAGGAUUUAAGAUUUGAUUAAGGUUUGGUUUAGGAUUUAGGAUUUGGUUAGGAUUUGAUUUAGGAUUAGGAUUUGGUUAGGAUUUGAUUUACAAUUAGGAUUUGGUUGGAAUUUUAUUUAUGAUUGGGAUUUGGUUUAGGAUUUAGGAUUUAGUUAGGGUUUGAUUUAGAAUUUAGAAUUUCGUUUAAGAUUUAAGAUUUGGUUAGGAUUUGAUUUAGGAUUAGGAUUUGGUUAGAAGUUGAUUUAGAGUUUAGGAUUUGGUCAAGAUUUGAUUUAGGAUUUAAGGUUUUAUUUGAAUUUUUUUAGAAUUUAAGAUUUAGUUAGUUUUUGGCAUAAAGUUUGAAUAAAGUCCAAUAGGAUUUGUGAGGCCAAAUUUCACCACUUGAUGAAACCUAUGCCACACAA
rnacentral:lncRNA from 1 species